UAGAUCUUUAGAAACCAAGAAAGAGUG
rnacentral:piRNA from 1 species